rnacentral:pre_miRNA from 1 species
AGCCCUCUGUAUUCGUGCUGAGAUUUCGUCAGAUAUCAACCCGUUGGGGUUGAUGGUACUUUCGAAAUAAAGUGAAGCG